rnacentral:rRNA from 1 species
AGAGUUUGAUCCUGGCUCAGGACGAACGCUGGCGGCGCGCUUAACACAUGCAAGUCGAGCGAUGAAACUUUAACAGAACCCUUCGGGGCGAAGAUAAAGUGGAUUAGCGGCGGACGGGUGAGUAACACGUGAGUAACCUGCCUUAGACAUUGGGAUAGCCUCGGGAAACCGGGAUUAAUACCAAAUAAAAUCAUAAUGACACAUGUCAUAACGAUCAAAACUCCGGUGGUCUAAGAUGGACUCGCGUCCCAUUAGCUAGUUGGUAGAGUAAAAGCCUACCAAGGCGACGAUGGGUAGCCGGCCUGAGAGGGUGAACGGCCACAUUGGAACUGAGAAACGGUCCAAACUCCUACGGGAGGCAGCAGUGGGGAAUAUUGCACAAUGGAGGGAACUCUGAUGCAGCGACGCCGCGUGAACGAAGAAGGCUUUCGAGUCGUAAAGUUCUUUUAUAUGGGAAGAUAAUGACGGUACCAUAAGAAAAAGCCCCGGCUAACUACGUGCCAGCAGCCGCGGUAAUACGUAGGGGGCUAGCGUUGUCCGGAAUCACUGGGCGUAAAGGGUUCGCAGGCGGAAAUGCAAGUCAGAUGUAAAAGGCAGUAGCUUAACUACUGUAAGCAUUUGAAACUGCAUAUCUUGAGAAGAGUAGAGGUAAGUGGAAUUUUUAGUGUAGCGGUGAAAUGCGUAGAUAUUAAAAAGAAUACCGGUGGCGAAGGCGACUUACUGGGCUCAUUCUGACGCUGAGGAACGAAAGCGUGGGUAGCAAACAGGAUUAGAUACCCUGGUAGUCCACGCUGUAAACGAUGAGUGCUAGGUGUCGGCGAAUGUCGGUGCCGCAGUUAACACAAUAAGCACUCCGCCUGGGGAGUACGUGCGCAAGCAUGAAACUCAAAGGAAUUGACGGGGACCCGCACAAGCAGCGGAGCAUGUGGUUUAA